GGUUCCAUAACUCAGCUGGUCAGAGUGUCGUACAAGAAUUACGAAAGUCGGGAGUUCAAACCUCUCUGGGACCA